rnacentral:lncRNA from 1 species
AGCGAGGUUUCUAGGCAUGAUCAUGGUUGAGUUUGGCCAUCUAGAAAGCAUUGUCGGUCCCUAUUUAUGUAAGUUGUUUGAAUGUCGCUAGCUUUCCUAAUUUCUUACUUAGCUCGUAAUUUUUAUACUAUAGCAGCUUUUCCAAAGAGUCUUCCUAAAGCUGUGUAGAUAUUUUUGGCAAGAACAUCUUGAACAAAUUUUGCAAAGUUAGUUAUCAGCCAUUCAGCCGGACCAAGCAGACCAUCAUACUUAUUUUUUUAGAACUUCACCCUUUAUUAAACUGAAUAAGAGUUACAAACCCAUCGCAUAUCUUCCUAAAGAACAUAAAAUUGUACUUCUAGCUAUUCUAUGUACAUCAACAUUGGACUACCUAUCUUUUGGAUGAACUCAACCCUUCCGAAGCAUCCUCUUCUAAAGUUAAUCUCGACCAUAUGGUCCCAU